UAAAAUGCAUUCUUGAUUUCAUCUCAAACCUAGAUUCAAAGAAGAAGAAAAAAUGGUCAUCAUCACUGAGUCAAUAUCUCAUCUCAAACAAACAAACCCAAAAUCAAAAUCUCACAAACCCACAUAUUUAUUAUUCCAUAGCUUUCUUCUCAAACUUGAGCAAGAUGAACCACUGAACUUUAUUCACAAGAACAAAACAAAUAUGCCCCAAAACACAAUAACAAAUCACAUUCUACUGUAAUUUAAAAGCACAAAUCAAAAUCUAAAACCCUUUGACAUUUUUAUUCCUACCAGGAACCUUAACUUCCCAGCUCUUCCAAACCCCAAAAGCUUUUGCUCCCCAAGAUCUACCCAGAAAAUCACCCUCAAAAAUUGACAUGCUCAUAUGCAAGCCUUGAUCUUGCCCAAAAAUCGCACCAGAAGUUCUUGCUUCCUCAGAUCCAUCGCACGCAAGCCCUCCCCAUCCUUGCUCAACCCAUCCCCGUUGACUUCAGAUCGUCCUUUGCUUGCAAGUCAUUUGCAGUCUCUGUCAACUCCGAUCUUCGUCGUCUCAAUCCAUCUGUUGUGGCUUUGAUCUCCUGCAGCUUUAAGAUGCUCACCACACAAAAGGCCUCCUCGUCGUGCUCCAUCUAAGUAGCGCCUCCAUCGCGACUCCGAUUUGGGGUUAAGGUACCUGCAAAAAAGGAACAUGGAGGAGGCAACAAGAAGAAGACGAAAAUGCUUAACUUAUUUAAAGGCAAAUGUUCCAAGAAGUUUCAUAGAAAUAGUUAGCUUGCUUUUGCUUGCACAUGCUUCACUUGUAGUAGUUCUCAGUGGGCUUUUAGCCCACCCCCUUACUUUCCCUUUCAGGUAGCAAAUAGGAUUUCUUUGUGGCACGCGUGGUGACGUGAGGAGUUCUAUCGUCGUAGGGUGUAUGGCGGGGGUAUCCUAUGGACGGAAUAAACGAUCACUUUAGGACGCCAUUUUAAUUAUGUUCUGUUUUAAGAGACUUUCUAAAUUAUCAAUGGGACUUAAUUAUUUAAUUUUGGUUUCUUUUGAACUUUGCAUAAAAACUCAUAUUUUCUUUUUAAACUAAUGGGCCCAACUUGCAUUGUUUUAAACAAGUCCCCACUGAGACCUUUAUAAAAAGUGGUUUUCUUUAUGGACCAAUGAUAUGUGAAUGUUUUAUUAAGUACUAGUCUAGGUCGCUCUUUACAAAUGGUAUCAAAGACAGGUUGUCCAUAUUUCCAAGGACCCCCCCC